CAAUAGCGUAUAUUUAAGUUGUUGCAGUUAAAAAGCUCGUAGUCGGAUUUUGGCUGAGAACGAACGGUCCGCCGUUAGGUGUGCACUGUUUGGUCUCAGCUUCCUGGUGAGGAGGUGUGCUUCACGGCCACUUAGUCACCGUGGUUACUUUGAAAAAAUUAGAGUGUUCAAAGCGGGCUUACGCUUGAAUAUAUUAGCAUGGAAUAACACCAUAGGACUCCUGUCCUAUUUCGUUGGUCUCGGGACAGGAGUAAUGAUUAAGAGGAACAGUUGGGGGCAUUCGUAUUUCAUUGUCAGAGGUGAAAUUCUUGGAUUUAUGAAAGACGAACUACUGCGAAAGCAUUUGCCAAGGAUGUUUUCAUUAA
rnacentral:rRNA from 1 species